UGGGGAAUUUUGGACAAUGGGCGAAAGCCUGAUCCAGCAAUGCCGCGUGUGUGAAGAAGGCCUUCGGGUUGUAAAGCACUUUUGUCCGGAAAGAAAUCCUUGGCUCUAAUACAGUCGGGGGAUGACGGUACCGGAAGAAUAAGCACCGGCUAACUACGUGCCAGCAGCCGCGGUAAUACGUAGGGUGCAAGCGUUAAUCGGAAUUACUGGGCGUAAAGCGUGCGCAGGCGGUUUGCUAAGACCGAUGUGAAAUCCCCGGGCUCAACCUGGGAACUGCAUUGGUGACUGGCAGGCUAGAGUAUGGCAGAGGGGGGUAGAAUUCCACGUGUAGCAGUGAAAUGCGUAGAGAUGUGGAGGAAUACCGAUGGCGAAGGCAGCCCCCUGGGCCAAUACUGACGCUCAUGCACGAAAAGCGUGGGGAGCAAACAGGAUUAGAUACCCUGGUAGUCCACGCCCUAAACGAUGUCAACUAGUUGUUGGGGAUUCAUUUCCUUAGUAACGUAGCUAACGCGUGAAGUUGACCGCCUGGGGAGUACGGUCGCAAGAUUAAAACUCAAAUGAAUUGACGGGGUCAUAA
rnacentral:rRNA from 1 species